rnacentral:rRNA from 1 species
AUUGAACGCUGGCGGCAUGCCUUACACAUGCAAGUCGAACGGCAGCAUAGGAGCUUGCUCCUGAUGGCGAGUGGUGAACGGGUGAGUAAUAUAUCGGAACGUGCCCUAGAGUGGGGGAUAACUAGUCGAACGACUAGCUAAUACCGCAUACGAUCUACGGAUGAAAGUGGGGGAUCGCAAGGCCUCAUGCUCCUGGAGCGGCCGAUAUCUGAUUAGCUCGUUGGUGGGGUAAAAGCCUACCAAGGCAACGAUCAGUAGCUGGUCUGAGAGGACGACCAGCCACACUGGGACUGAGACAAGGCCCAGACUCCUACGGGAGGCAGCAGUGGGGAAUUUUGGACAAUGGGGGCAACCCUGAUCCAGCAAUGCCGCGUGAGUGAAGAAGGCCUUCGGGCUGUAAAGCUCUUUUGUCAGGGAAGAAGCGGUAGUAGCGAAUAACUAUUACUAAUGACGGUACCUGAAGAAUAAGCACCGGCUAACUACGUGCCAGCAGCCGCAGAA